UACGUAUGUAGAGGUGCAACUAUUAUAAGUAGCUUUUUUGAGUGGAUAACGAUGAAAAAAAGUGAAAGGAAUAGUUGCCGAAAUCAAUAAAAAGUCAUUUUUAUUGGUUGGGGGCGUCUUUGAAAGAAACGUCACUGUCAUAGUAUUUUAUUCACUAUGGAGCGCUACUGGUUAG
rnacentral:ncRNA from 2 species